AGGUGAGUGCGUGACCAUGAGCUUAUCUAAGCGAUUGGGAUUGAGUGACUUGUUUGUGAUGAUUUGUAGGUGAAUUGGAAGUGUUAUUGGAUGUUUAGCUUGCUGAAUGGUUUGUUUAUGUUAUAUAUGUGGGUGUUAUCUCAUAGCUUGUGUGUAUAGCUCGUAGAUGGGAGGAUCGCUCUCACUAAGUAUUUGUGAUAAUACUCACGCAUCU
rnacentral:lncRNA from 1 species